rnacentral:rRNA from 1 species
GACGAACGCUGGCGGCGUGCUUAACACAUGCAAGUCGAACGGAAAGGCCCUGCUUUUGUGGGGUGCUCGAGUGGCGAACGGGUGAGUAACACGUGAGUAACCUGCCCUUGACUUUGGGAUAACUUCAGGAAACUGGGGCUAAUACCGGAUAGGAGCUCCUGCUGCAUGGUGGGGGUUGGAAAGUUUCGGCGGUUGGGGAUGGACUCGCGGCUUAUCAGCUUGUUGGUGGGGUAGUGGCUUACCAAGGCUUUGACGGGUAGCCGGCCUGAGAGGGUGACCGGCGACAUUGGGACUGGGAUACGGCCCAGACUCCUACGGGAGGCAGCAGUGGGGAAUAUUGCACAAUGGGCGGAAGCCUGAUGCAGCAACGCCGCGUGCGGGAUGACGGCCUUCGGGUUGUAACCCGCUUUCGCCUGUGACGAAGCGUGAGUGACGGUAAUGGGUAAAGAAGCACCGGCUAACUACGUG